GGGAACUCUGUGACGGGUGCCGGGGGAAUACAGGUGGCCCAAGGUGUGCUCGGAUUCAGUGGGCGUAGAGGGUGCGUGGGGGGUCGGGUAAGGCUGAGGUGAAAUCUCCGAGCUGAACUCGGAAACGGCCUUGGAGACUAGUCGGCGUGAGGGUUGGAGGGGGGACUGGAAUUCUCGGUGUAGCAGUGAAAUGCGUAGAUAUCGAGAGGAACACCAGUGGCGAAGGCGAGUCCCUGGACAACUCCUGACGCUGAGGCACGAAAGCUAGGGGAGCAAACAGGAUUAGAUACCCGAGUAGUC
rnacentral:rRNA from 1 species